GAUGAACGCUGGCGGCGUGCCUAAUACAUGCAAGUCGAGCGAACGGACGAGAAGCUUGCUUCUCUGAUGUUAGCGGCGGACGGGCGAGUAACACGUGGAUAACCUACUUAUAAGACUGGGAGAACUUCGGGAAACCGGAGCUAAUACCGGAUAAUAUUUUGAACGGCAUGGUUCAAAAGUGAAAGACGGUCUUGCUGUCACUUAUAGAUGGAUCCGCGCUGCAUUAGCUAGUUGGUAAGGUAACGGCUUACCAAGGCAACGAUGCAUAGCCGACCUGAGGGGGUGAUCGGCCACACUGGAACUGAGACACGGUCCAGACUCCUACGGGAGGCAGCAGUAGGGAAUCUUCCGCAAUGGGCGAAAGCCUGACGGAGCAACGCCGCGUGAGUGAUGAAGGUCUUCGGAUCGUAAAACUCUGUUAUUAGGGAAGAACAUAUGUGUAAGUAACUGUGCACAUCUUGACGGUACCUAAUCAGAAAGCCACGGCUAACUACGUG
rnacentral:rRNA from 1 species